AUAAAAGCAGGGCCCUGUUGCCUCUGUGAACAUGACUCUCGUAACUUCAAGAAUUACAUGCAUUGUUAUUGGGUGAACCUCUGUAGUUAUUUGUACUGAGUUCAGUAAAUGAUGGCACAUUU